rnacentral:rRNA from 1 species
UACAGAGGGUGCAAGCGUUGUUCGGAAUUAUUGGGCGUAAAGGGUGCGUAGGCGGUUUGGUAAGUCUGAUGUGAAAUCUAUGGGCUCAACUCAUAGUCUGCAUCGGAAACUGCCGGGCUUGAGUAUGGGAGAGGUGAGUGGAAUUCCUGGUGUAGCGGUGAAAUGCGUAGAUAUCGGGAGGAACACCUGUGGCGAAAGCGGCUCACUGGACCACAACUGACGCUGAGGCGCGAAAGC